rnacentral:rRNA from 1 species
CAGUCGCCGCGGUAACACGGAGGGGGCUAGCGUUGUUCGGAAUUACUGGGCGUAAAGCGCACGUAGGCGGCUUGGUAAGUUAGAGGUGAAAGCCCGGAGCUCAACUCCGGAAUUGCCUUUAAGACUGCCGAGCUAGUAGGUGAGAGAGGUAAGUGGAAUUCCGAGUGUAGAGGUGAAAUUCGUAGAUAUUCGGAAGAACACCAGUGGCGAAGGCGGCUUACUGGCUCAUUCUAGACGCUGAGGUGCGAAAGCGUGGGGAGCAAACAGGAUUAGAGACCCCCGUAGUCCCUGUCUCUUAUAA